AGAGUUUGAUCCUGGCUCAGAACGAACGCUGGCGGCGUGCUUAACACAUGCAAGUCGAACGCGAAAGGGAUCUUCGGAUCCCCGGUGGAGUGGCGCACGGGUGAGUAACGCGUAAAUAAUCUACCCUGAUGUCUGGAAUAAUUAGCCGAAAGGCUGACUAAUACGGGAUACAUGCUUUGCUGUUGGGUGAAGCAGGAAAGGUGGCCUCUAUUUAUAAGCUAUCGCAUUGGGAUGAGUUUGCGUACCAUUAGCUAGUUGGUGGGGUAAGGGCCCACCAAGGCGACGAUGGUUAGCGGGUCUGAGAGGAUGAUCCGCCACACUGGCACUGGAACACGGGCCAGACUCCUACGGGAGGCAGCAGUGAGGAAUAUUGCGCAAUGGGGGCAACCCUGACGCAGCGACGCCGCGUGAGUGAGGAAGGCCUUCGGGUCGUAAAGCUCUGUCAGCAGGGAAGAAGUGCAUGAUGGCUAAUAUCCAUUGUGUUUGACGGUACCUGCAAAGGAAGCACCGGCUAACUCCGUGCCAGCAGCCGCGGUAAUACGGAGGGUGCGAGCGUUGUUCGGAAUCACUGGGCGUAAAGGGCGCGCAGGCGGUUUUGUAAGUCAGAUGUGAAAGCCCAUGGCUUAACUGUGGAAGUGCAUUUGAAACUGCAAGACUUGAGUACCAGAGGGGAAGGUGGAAUUCCCGGUGUAGAGGUGAAAUUCGUAGAUAUCGGGAGGAAUACCGGUGGCGAAGGCGACCUUCUGGCUGGAUACUGACGCUGAGGCGCGAAAGCGUGGGGAGCAAACAGGAUUAGAUACCCUGGUAGUCCACGCGGUAAACGAUGUGCACUAGAUGUCGGAGGUAUUGAUCCCUUCGGUGUCGCAGCUAACGCAUUAAGUGCACCGCCUGGGGGGUACGGUCGCAAGAUUAAAACUCAAAGGAAUUGACGG
rnacentral:rRNA from 1 species